rnacentral:tRNA from 1 species
AUUUAUAUAGUAUAUCUAAGUACUUUUAAUUUCCAAUUAAAAAGUUUAAUUAUUAAUAAUAUAAAUA